rnacentral:hammerhead_ribozyme from 1 species
ACCCAGUUGACGAGUACCAAAUAGGACGAAACAUGCGUCCUGUGU